CAGCCGCCGCGGGAAUACAGAGGGUGCGAGCGUUAAUCGGAUUUACUGGGCGUAAAGCGUGCGUAGGCGGCUAAUUGAGUCGGAUGUGAAAUCCCCGAGCUUAACUUGGGAAUUGCAUUCGAUACUGGUUAGCUAGAGUGUGGGAGAGGAUGGUAGAAUUCCAGGUGUAGCGGUGAAAUGCGUAGAGAUCUGGAGGAAUACCGAUGGCGAAGGCAGCCAUCUGGCCUAACACUGACGCUGAGGUACGAAAGCAUGGGGAGCAAACAGGAUUAGAGACCCCGGUAGUCCCUGUCUCUUAUAA
rnacentral:rRNA from 1 species